rnacentral:rRNA from 1 species
AUUGAACGCUGGCGGCAGGCCUAACACAUGCAAGUCGAGCGAGCGGCGGACGGGUGAGCAAUGUAUGGGGAUCUGCCCGAUAGAGGGGGAUAACUACUGGAAACGUUGGCUACUACCGCCUACUAUCGGUUGAACUCUUAUGGGAUUAGCUAGUAGGUGGGUUAAAGGCUCACCUAGGCGACGAUCCCUAGCUGGUCUGAGAGGAUGAUCAGCCACACUGGGACUGAGACACGGCCCAGACUCCUACGGGAGGCAGCAGUGGGGAAUAUUGCACAAGGGGCGCAAGCCUGAUGCAGCCAUGCCGCGUGUAUGAAGAAGGCCUUAGGGUUGUAAAGUACUUUCAGCGGGGAGGCGUUACCCGCAGAAUAAGCACCGGCUAACUCCGUGCCAGCAGCCGCGGUAAUUC